AAAGAGAGAAGAAGGGGGAUGCCGGAAAGGGAGAGAGAUAGGUAGAUCAGUGCGCGUGCACGUAGUAAUAGUAGGCUACGGGUAGAAAGAGAAAUAUAUAGAUCGUGUAUCAUUGUAUGUGUGUGUUAUAUCUGUACGUAUAUAUAAUGUGCGUAGCCUAGGAAGAGCAAGAGAGAAAUGACUAGGAUUCAACGGAAGAGCGCGAACGCGUACGACGAAGACUUAGCAGAAAUUGACGGUCGUUCGCUGCGUUUGGAUCAUCGCAUCGCGUCGUGACAAACGUGUCGUAUAUACCACCGACGGAUGGAUGGACACACACGUUGGGUUGAAUUUUCGACGGCCGCGUUUUAGUUGUUUGUCGCGUUGUGCAGCGGCGCUCACGACGUUGGGACGCCCACCACCUGUAGUGCUCACCCUCUUUUCCUCGCGGCCAACCGUCCUUCCGCGCGCGCCAUAGGCGCGCGCACUCGCGCUAUGUCGUCCUUUCGGCCCGCUUCCCCUUUCAUGCUGUACGUUCCGAUCGAGUGGGGGAAACGAAUUUUAAAUUCACGUCUAUGUUGUGGUUGUCAUCGCGAGUCUUUGUCAUCGUCCGUAAUGCGGUUCAUUUGACGCUGAGUAGUAAAUUGCAACGGAAAUCAUGUUUAUAAACAUAACCACAAACAGAGAGCUAUGCGACAAGGUUCGCCGAGUCAUUAUGUUCGAGCUAAGGGUGUCAGCUUUGAAACACGUAUGCGACGUGUUUUCGUCGCUAGGCGCUGGAGUAUGAAGAAAUUACAGCACUUUAGCGUAUCUACGCCUAUUUAGCCUUGGACAAAACGAAGCAAAUGCGUACUUCAUACUUUUACGCUCGUUCGCAACAGGUACAGUUACGUUUCAUCCAAAGGAUCCUUUCGAAUUAAUAGAGCAAUCGCGACGCAGCUGGGCCGUAGACGUUUUAAAAAGAACGUGGCGCGUGUCUCGAAGAAUUCCUAGUUAAUUCCCGCGGCUAAUUGGACGGAAAUGAAAAUUAAAAAGUUGGUUGGUUCGCUAACAAGAGACAAAGCAGAAAAGAAACAGUCUGGGACAGGGGAUCGGAGGGCAGAACGGAGGUGGAACGCUGGAAUGGAGGCGACGAGGCUGAAGGGUGGCCGCUAGUUGCGAAGCAAACACUUUUGAAGUCCUCAUAGCUGUCCGGGGCCCGACGUUUACCGUGUCAUUAGCGUCAAGAUAAGUCCGCCCCUGGAAAAUAGUAGAAUCUACUCUCAAUGCAAGAUCAAAGGGAAAUCCACUUCGCUGAACAAUGAAGGGGAUUACGAGUUCGGAAAUAUUUAUUUCUCGUUUGGGUAAAUCGACAUGAGAAAUCGGCAAAUCCGUAGGCAAAACACGAAAGUUGGUAGUCGAGCUACUUUAGCUACCGAGGGCUCUUAUCUUUCCCUUGAGCACAACAAAACAAAGCUCCGCCAUUUUUCCUUGCUCCUUUUGUACGUGCCGCUAUGCAAACGUCAAUCGUUCGAAGCUCUUAUCGAUCUAGCGAUUCGAGGCCCUUGCUUUGUUUCUUGCUGUUGAAUGCCUUACCUGUUGCUCCCUUACGAAAUUAGGCAAACAUUUUCCGAACGUCAACUUCGGUUUAUUAUUCAUACGUCUUGUACACGUACAAUAGAUAAAUCUUCGUGGCAGCGUGAAGUAAACAGAGAAUCGCACUUUCAGCAUGAAAUUUCCUAAAUAUAUGGAGAACGAUAAAAUGUAUAAUUUGUCCAAAUUCGUUAAAGAAAGCAAAGUAAUACAAGAAUGGAAUCUGUACCCGCUACUAGCAAAGUAUGAAUCAUUGAUAAAAAAAAUUCAUCUCCUAAGAUUACUUAUUCUUUCCGUGGAUUGAGCGUAUAAGAAGUCAGAUUUCUUAAAAAAUAAACCUUCAUAAGUUUGUUUAUAGCACGAAGAUGAAAUAAGGAAUCGUAAAUUUCGAAAACUAACGUUUGUAAUAUUAACACUUCCUUCUGUUUUGAAACUAUGGAGCUGACUAAUGCAACUUUUCAGUUUUAUGAAAAAUUUCAGCCCAACCUCACGUUGUAAUACCAUCAUCGACCUAUUAUUCAUCACAAAUGUGUAUUGUACAAGCAAUAAUUCUGUCAUUAAAGUAUCAUAAAAUCUCACAGCUUACAAGUUCGUCAGACAACUUGCAUUACUCAUAGAUUCUAAAAGUCUUGUAAUAAAAUCAACGUAGAAGUGGAUUCACAGGCAUAUUAGCGCCGCGUGAUCCUUCGAUACAUUCACGAGAAAGUUUAAAGAGUACGACCCAAUUCUAUCGGAACCUGUAGAAGCUGCUUUGUUCGUCAUUGGUGAUUUAUCCGGGGUGUCGUUAGCCAGCCGCAAUAAAGCACCGUAACGAUCAAAUAAUCGUUAUAUAUAGUUAUAGAAGAAGUUGGUCGCUGUUUCAUCGGCAGUGAACCGACGCUGUGUAAAGAUCGACCGAACGUAAUUGUAGUUUCAACCACGGGAAACAGAAGAAAGAGAAAGAGAGAAGGUAAGGAGCUGGCGCAGCUGUUUCGCAUAAGUCUUUCGGGAAGAAUAAUAUCUUGGCCAGUGCAAGCGUUCGGUCUACGAAAAGAUGCGAGAGCUGGCUUAAUAGCUCGUGCAUCAGUGUGAAUUCACAUGAAACAUCCGUUCAGUGGCUGUAUCGUUUCGUGCAUAUGCUGCUCGAAAAAUGACACGACGAAUCGUCAGGGUGAACUUGGACGACUGAGCGAGAAUUUAUUAUUACGAUAGAAGUUGAACGAAGUGUGAAAUGAUUUUUAAGAUGCUGGAAUACUCGAGAUGGUUACGACGAAGAGGAUUUUUAGCGGAUCAAUUUUCUUCGAUCCGUCAUUGAUCAUGGAAGUUCAUUUUCUUCCGACGUUCUUGUAACGACGAUAUAAUUUUUGGUACCGAUAAAAUCGUACAAGAGUAUAGUAAUAAAUAAAUGGAACGAGGAUUUUAAAAAGAAGCUUCAUGAGCAUAUAACUUGAAACGGCUCUAUAAAAAGUUAA